AACGAACGCUGGCGGCAUGCCUAACACAUGCAAGUCGAACGAAGCCUUCGGGCUUAGUGGCGCACGGGUGCGUAACACGUGGGAAUCUGCCCUUCGGUUCGGAAUAACAGUUAGAAAUGACUGCUAAUACCGGAUGAUGACAUAAGUCCAAAGAUUUAUCGCCGAAGGAUGAGCCCGCGUAGGAUUAGGUAGUUGGUAGGGUAAUGGCCUACCAAGCCGACGAUCCUUAGCUGGUCUGAGAGGAUGAUCAGCCACACUGGGACUGAGACACGGCCCAGACUCCUACGGGAGGCAGCAGUGGGGAAUAUUGGACAAUGGGCGAAAGCCUGAUCCAGCAAUGCCGCGUGAGUGAUGAAGGCCUUAGGGUUGUAAAGCUCUUUUACCAGGGAUGAUAAUGACAGUACCUGGAGAAUAAGCUCCGGCUAACUCCGUGCCAGCAGCCGCGGUAAACGUAGCGUG
rnacentral:rRNA from 1 species